rnacentral:rRNA from 1 species
AGUGAACGCUGGCGGUAGGCCUAACACAUGCAAGUCGAACGGCAGCACAGUAAGAGCUUGCUCUUACGGGUGGCGAGUGGCGGACGGGUGAGGAAUACAUCGGAAUCUACUUUUUCGUGGGGGAUAACGUAGGGAAACUUACGCUAAUACCGCAUACGACCUACGGGUGAAAGCAGGGGAUCUUCGGACCUUGCGCGAUUGAAUGAGCCGAUGUCGGAUUAGCUAGUUGGCGGGGUAAAGGCCCACCAAGGCGACGAUCCGUAGCUGGUCUGAGAGGAUGAUCGGCAACACUGGAACGGGGACACGGUCCAAACCCCUACGGAGGCAGCAGUGGGGAAUAUUGGACAAUGGGCGCAAGCCUGAUCCAGCCAUACCGCGUGGGUGAAGAAGGCCUUCGGGUUGUAAAGCCCUUUUGUUGGGAAAGAAAAGCAGCAGGUUAAUACCCCGCUGUUCUGACGGUACCCAAAGAAUAAGCACCGGCUAACUUCGUG